GAUGAACGCUGGCGGCGUGCCUAAUACAUGCAAGUCGAGCGAACAGAUAAGGAGCUUUCUCCUUUGACGUUAGCGGCGGACGGGUGAGUAACACGUGGGAAACCCAUCUAUAAGACUUGGAUAACUUCGGCAGACCGGAGCUCUUACCGGAUAACAUUACGAACCGCAUGGUUCUAAAGUGAAAGAUGGUUUUGCUAUCACUUAUAGUUGGAUCCGCGCCUUAUUAGCUAGUUGGUAAGGUAACGGCUUACCAAGGCUACGAUACGUAGCCGACCUGAGGGGGUGAGAGGGCGAACGGGAACUGAGACACUGACCAGCGGCCUACGGGAGUCAGCAGUGGAGAAGUGGAGGAAAUGGGCGAAAGCCUGACAGAGCAACGCAGCGUCGGUGCUGAAGGGUUUCGGCUCGUAAGAUUGUGAUACUAGGGAGGAAGAGAUGUAUAAGUAACUGUGCACGUCGUGACGGUACUUAAUCAAGAAGCCACGGCUAACUACGUG
rnacentral:rRNA from 1 species